rnacentral:rRNA from 1 species
AACCCUAAUUAAUAAACCCCGGCGUAAAGAGUGUUAAAAAUUAAACAAAAUAAGAUUAAAUUUUAUCCAAGUCGUAAAAAUCACCAGAUAAAAACAAACCCAUUAACGAAAGUAAUCUUAACAAAUGUAAAAACACUAAAGCUGAGAUCCAAACUGGGAUUAGAUACCCCACUAUGCUCAGCCAUAAACACAAAUAUUUAAUAACAAAAAUAUUCGCCAGAGAACUACUAGCAACAGCUUAAAACUCAAAGGACUUGGCGGUGCUUUAAACCCAUCUAGAGGAGCCUGUUCUAUAAUCGAUAAACCCCGAUAAACCUCACCACUUCUCGCUAAUU